UAGGGAAUAUUGCUUAAUGGGCGAAAGCCUGAAGCAGCAACGCCGCGUGCGCGAUGAAGGCCUUCGGGUUGUAAAGCGCUUUUAGCUGGGAAGAGGAAGGACGGUACCAGCGGAAUAAGCCUCGGCUAACUACGUGCCAGCAGCCGCGGUAAAACGUAGGAGGCGAGCGUUAUCCGGAUUUACUGGGUGUAAAGCGCGUGCAGGCGGUUUGCUAAGUUGGGUGUGAAAGCUCCUGGCUCAACUGGGAGAGGUCGCUCAAGACUGGCA
rnacentral:rRNA from 1 species